AGUGAACGCUGGCGGUAGGCCUAACACAUGCAAGUCGAACGGCAGCACAGUAAGAGCUUGCUCUUACGGGUGGCGAGUGGCGGACGGGUGAGGAAUACAUCGGAAUCUACUUUUUCGUGGGGGAUAACGUAGGGAAACUUACGCUAAUACCGCAUACGACCUACGGGUGAAAGCAUGGGAUCUUCGGACCUUGCGCGAUUGAAUGAGCCGAUGUCGGAUUAGCUAGUUGGCGGGGUAAAGGCCCACCACGGCGACGAUCCGUAGCUGGUCUGAGAGGAUGAACAGCCACACUGGAACUGAGACACGGUCCAGACUCCUACGGUAGGCAGCAGUGGGGAAUAUUGGACGAAGGGCGCAAGCCUGAUCCAGCCAUACCGCGUGGGUGAAGAAGGCCUUCGGGUUGUAAAGCCCAUUUGUUGGGAAAGAAGAGCAGCAGGUUAAUACCCCGCUGUGCUGACGGUACCCAAAGAAGAAGCACCGGCUAACUUCGUG
rnacentral:rRNA from 1 species